UGCCUAAUACAUGCAAGUCGAGCGGAUCUUGUCCUUCGGGACAAGGUUAGCGGCGGACGGGUGAGUAACACGUAGGCAACCUGCCCUCAAGACUGGGAUAACCUCCGGAAACGGAUGCUAAUACCGGAUAUGCGGUCUCUCCUCCUGGAGGGAUCGGGAAAGACGGAGCAAUCUGUCACUUGGGGAUGGGCCUGCGGCGCAUUAGCUAGUUGGUGGGGUAACGGCUCACCAAGGCGACGAUGCGUAGCCGACCUGAGAGGGUGAUCGGCCACACUGGGACUGAGACACGGCCCAGACUCCUACGGGAGGCAGCAGUAGGGAAUCUUCCGCAAUGGACGCAAGUCUGACGGAGCAACGCCGCGUGAGUGAGGAAGGCCUUCGGGUCGUAAAGCUCUGUUGCCAGGGAAAGAACGGGUGGAAGAGUAACUGCUUCCGCCAUGACGGUACCUGAGAAGAAAGCCCCGGCUAACUACGUGCCAGCAGCCGCGGUAAUACGUAGGGGGCAAGCGUUGUCCGGAAUUAUUGGGCGUAAAGCGCGCGCAGGCGGCUUUGUAAGUCCGGUGUUUAAUCUUGGGGCUCAACCCCAAGUCGCACGGGAAACUGCAAGGCUUGAGUGCAGAAGAGGAAAGUGGAAUUCCACGUGUAGCGGUGAAAUGCGUAGAGAUGUGGAGGAACACCAGUGGCGAAGGCGACUUUCUGGGCUGUAACUGACGCUGAGGCGCGAAAGCGUGGGGAGCAAACAGGAUUAGAAUACCCUGGUAAA
rnacentral:rRNA from 1 species